AGAGUUUGAUCAUGGCUCAGGAUAAACGCUGGCGGCGCACAUAAGACAUGCAAGUCGAACGGACUCAACCGAAAUAUUUAUAUUUUGGAGCGGUUAGUGGCGGACUGGUGAGUUACAUGUAAGCAAUCUGCCUAUUAGAGGGGAAUAACAGCGAGAAAUCGUUGCUAAUACCGCAUAUGCCAUAAAUAUCGCAUGAUAAAAGUGGGAAAGGAGUAAUCCGCUAAUAGAUGAGCUUGCACCUGAUUAGUUAGUUGGUGGGGUAACGGCCUACCAAGACGACGAUCAGUAGCCGGACUGAGAGGUUGAACGGCCACAUUGGGACUGAGAUACGGCCCAGACUCCUACGGGAGGCAGCAGUCGGGAAUAUUGCGCAAUGGAGGGAACUCUGACGCAGUGACGCCGCGUAUAGGAAGAAGGUUUUCGGAUUGUAAACUAUUGUCGAUGGGGAAGAAAAAAGACUGUACCCAUCAAGAAAGCUCCGGCUAACUACGUGCCAGCAGCCGCGGUAAUACGUAGGGAGCAAGCGUUAUCCGGAAUUAUUGGGUGUAAAGGGUGCGUAGACGGGAAAACAAGUUAGUUGUGAAAUCCCUCGGCUCAACUGAGGAACUGCAACUAAAACUAUUUUUCUUGAGUGCAGGAGAGGAAAGCGGAAUUCCUAGUGUAGCGGUGAAAUGCGUAGAUAUUAGGAGGAACACCAGUGGCGAAGGCGGCUUUCUGGACUGUAACUGACGUUGAGGCACGAAAGUGUGGGGAGCAAACAGGAUUAGAUACCCUGGUAGUCCACACUGUAAACGAUGGAU
rnacentral:rRNA from 1 species